rnacentral:rRNA from 1 species
AUUGAACGCUGGCGGCAUGCUUUACACAUGCAAGUCGAACGGUAACAGGUUAAGCUGACGAGUGGCGGACGGGUGAGUAAUGCAUCGGAACGUGCCCGAUCGUGGGGGAUAACGCAGCGAAAGCUGCGCUAAUACCGCAUACGAUCUGAGGAUGAAAGCGGGGGACCGUAAGGCCUCGCGCGAUCGGAGCUGCCGAUGUCAGAUUAGGUAGUUGGUGGGGUAAAGGCCCACCAAGCCGACGAUCUGUAGCUGGGCUGGGAGGACGACCAGCCACACUGGGACUGAGACACGGCCCAGACUCCUACGGGAGGCAGCAAUGGGGAAUUUUGGACAAUGGGCGAAAGCCUGAUCCAGCAAUGCCGCGUGCAGGAAGAAGGCCUUCGGGUUGUAAACUGCUUUUGUACGGAGCGAAAAGGUCCUUUCUAAUACAAGGGGCUCAUGACGGUACCGUAAGAAUAAGCACCGGCUAACUACGUGCCAGCCGCCGCAGUAA